ACAACAUAGACUGUCUUUUCAAUUCUGCACAACGGCAGGUCGAGUUAAAACUUAUCACCAUAGAGUAUAUAUUUUUUUUAUUUCAUUAUUGAUGCACAAUUGGUUUUCCAAAACAUAUCGUGAUAUAUUGAAAUGUGAGUAAGAUGCAUAUAUUUCAUUUUUUUUAAAUGCAAAUGAACGAAAUUCAACACAUGACCGAGA
rnacentral:lncRNA from 1 species